rnacentral:rRNA from 1 species
CUACGGGCGGCAGCAGUGAGGAAUAUUGCACAAUGGAGGAAACUCUGAUGCAGCAACGCCGCGUGGAGGAUGACGCAUUUCGGUGUGUAAACUCCUUUUAUAUGUCAAGAAAAUGACGGUAGCAUAUGAAUAAGCACCGGCUAACUCCGUGCCAGCAGCCGCGGUAAUACGGAGGGUGCAAGCGUUACUCGGAAUCACUGGGCGUAAAGGACGCGUAGGCGGGAUAUCAAGUCAGGUGUGAAAUCCUACAGCUUAACUGUAGAACUGCACUUGAAACUGGUAACCUAGAGUAUGGGAGGGGGAGAUGGAAUUAGUGGUGUAGGGGUAAAAUCCGUAGAUAUCACUAGGAAUACCUAAAGCGAAGGCGAUCUCCUGGAACAUAACUGACGCUAAGGCGUGAAAGCGUGGGGAGCAAACAGGAUUAGAUACCCCUGUAGUC